rnacentral:rRNA from 1 species
AGAGUUUGAUCAUGGCUCAGGAUGAACGCUGGCGGCGUGCCUAAUACAUGCAAGUCGAGCGAACAGACGAGGAGCUUGCUCCUUUGACGUUAGCGGCGGACGGGUGAGUAACACGUGGGUAACCUACCUAUAAGACUGGGAUAACUUCGGGAAACCGGAGCUAAUACCGGAUAAUAUUUCGAACCGCAUGGUUCGAUAGUGAAAGAUGGUUCUGCUAUCACUUAUAGAUGGACCUGCGCCGUAUUAGCUAGUUGGUAAGGUAACGGCUUACCAAGGCAACGAUACGUAGCCGACCUGAGAGGGUGAUCGGCCACACUGGAACUGAGACACGGUCCAGACUCCUACGGGAGGCAGCAGUAGGGAAUCUUCCGCAAUGGGCGAAAGCCUGACGGAGCAACGCCGCGUGAGUGAUGAAGGUCUUCGGAUCGUAAAACUCUGUUAUUAGGGAAGAACAAACGUGUAAGUAACCGUGCACGUCUUGACGGUACCUAAUCAGAAAGCCACGGCUAACUACGUGCCAGCCGCCGCGGUAAUAC